rnacentral:rRNA from 1 species
UACAGAGGUCCCGAGCGUUGUUCGGAUUCAUUGGGCGUAAAGGGUGCGUAGGCGGUUUCCUAAGUUUGAUGUGAAAUCCCGGGGCUUAACCCUGGAAUUGCAUUGAAUACUGGGAGACUAGAGUACUGGAGAGGAAACUGGAAUUUACGGUGUAGCAGUGAAAUGCGUAGAGAUCGUAAGGAAGACCAGUGGCGAAGGCGGAUCUCUGGACAGUUACUGACACUGAGGCACGAAGGCCAGGGGAGCAAACGGG